rnacentral:rRNA from 1 species
AUUGAACGCUGGCGGCAGGCCUAACACAUGCAAGUCGAACGAGCGGCGGACGGGUGAGUAAUGUCUGGGAAACUGCCCGAUGGAGGGGGAUAACUACUGGAAACGGUAGAUAAUACCGCAUACCAUCGGAUGUGCCCCGAUGGGAUUAGCUAGUAGGUGGGGUAAUGGCUCACCUAGGCGACGAUCCCUAGCUGGUCUGAGAGGAUGACCAGCCACACUGGAACGGAGACACGGUCCAGACGCCUACGGGAGGCAGCAGUGGGGAAUAUUGCACAAUGGGCGCAAGCCUGAUGCAGCCAUGCCGCGUGUAUGAAGAAGGCCUUCGGGUUGUAAAGUACUUUCAGCGAGGAGGCGUUACUCGCAGAAGAAGCACCGGCUAACUCCGUGCCAGCCGCCGCGGUAAUUC